CACGUAGGGGGCGAGCGUUGUCCGGAAUCAUUGGGCGUAAAGAGCUCGUAGGCGGCUCAGUAAGUCGGGUGUGAAACCCUCAGGCUCAACCUGGGGACGCCACUCGAUACUGCUGUGGCUAGAGUCCAGUAGGGGAGUGUGGAAUUCCCGGUGUAGCGGUGAAAUGCGCAGAUAUCGGGAGGAACACCAGCGGCGAAGGCGGCACUCUGGGCUGGAACUGACGCUGAGGAGCGAAAGCGUGGGUAGCAAACAGG
rnacentral:rRNA from 1 species